rnacentral:rRNA from 1 species
AUUGAACGCUGGCGGCAGGCCUAACACAUGCAAGUCGAGCGAGCGGCGGACGGGUGAGCAAUAUCUCGGAAACCGACCGUUGUAGGGGGAUAACUCCUGGAAACGGUCGCUAAUACCGCAUACCAUCAGAUGUGCCCACAUGGGAUUAGCUAGUGGGUGGGGUAACGGCUCACCUAGGCGACGAUCCCUAGCUGGUCUGAGAGGAUGACCCGCCACACUGGAACUGAGACACGGUCCAGACUCCUACGGGAGGCAGCAGUGGGGAAUAUUGCACAAUGGGGGCAAGCCUGAGGCAGCCAUGCCGCGUGUGUGAAGAAGGCCUUCGGGUUGUAAAGCACUUUCAGCGGGGAGGCGUUACCCGCAGAAGAAGCACCGGCUAACUCCGUGCCAGCCGCCGCGGUAAUAC